ACUCCUGCGGGAGGCAGCAGUGGGGAAUAUUGCACAAUGGGCGCAAGCCUGAUGCAGCCAUGCCGCGUGUAUGAAGAAGGCCUUCGGGUUGUAAAGUACUUUCAGCGGGGAGGAAGGCGAUAAGGUUAAUAACCUUGUUGAUUGACGUUACCCGCAGAAGAAGCACCGGCUAACUCCGUGCCAGCAGCCGCGGUAAUACGGAGGGUGCAAGCGUUAAUCGGAAUUACUGGGCGUAAAGCGCACGCAGGCGGUCUGUCAAGUCGGAUGUGAAAUCCCCGGGCUCAACCUGGGAACUGCAUUCGAAACUGGCAGGCUAGAGUCUUGUAGAGGGGGGUAGAAUUCCAGGUGUAGCGGUGAAAUGCGUAGAGAUCUGGAGGAAUACCGGUGGCGAAGGCGGCCCCCUGGACAAAGACUGACGCUCAGGUGCGAAAGCGUGGGGAGCAAACAGGAUUAGAAACCCGUGUAGUCC
rnacentral:rRNA from 1 species